UUGUCAAGAAGUCGACUAGACGUAAAUACGGCUAGGCUGAGCUUCCAGCGAACGCCCAGCUACAAGCGUGAGCAGAAUUUGAGCUGCACUAAGAACAACUAACAAAUGACGAACCUAAUAAGACUAAUCAAGGACCAGCAGGGCAACAUUAAGGGCCGUCAGGGAAUACUGAGUGCUAUCAGGCUAGGAGAGGAAUGUCUUUAGCCGACGCGCCGUUUCUUGAAGGUGAAGAAGGAGUCUCAUGAGCCGUUGUGGUUCGGCAGCUCAUUCCAGCAUCGGGGAACCACACGAACAUUAAGAAGAACCACUGAGAACAUCCUGACAUGAAGCAUCACAGGAACGGCACCGUGAGGGCGGUACGAUCGGCGGAAUGCCGCAUCUGCGCGGAGCUUCCUGACCUGCAGUCCAUCUACAGCAAGCGCUGCUGGACCAAGGCCAGGAACCCAGUGAAGGUUCCCAGCUAGACAAACACUGAACACUUUUCUCUGCUGCGGUCAGGGAAGUACUUCUGCUCCCUGAAGACCAACGCAGAGCUCCAGACCUCCGUGACCUUGCACAGGACAGGCGGUUAUGGAAGAUGGAUGGAUGAGGAUGAUGAUGAUUAUUAUUAUUGUUGUUUUUAUUAAAAAAUAACAACCC